rnacentral:rRNA from 1 species
CUGCCAGCAGCCGCGGUAAUACGAGGGAUGCAAGCGUUAUCCGGAAUUAUUGGGCGUAAAGCGUUCGUAGGUGGCUAAGUUAGUCUGUCGUUAAAGCGUGGAGCUUAACUCCAUAACGGCGAUGGAAAACUGCUUGGCUAGAGUAUGGUAGGGGUAAGAGGAAUUCCCAGUGUAGCGGUGAAAUGCGUAGAUAUUGGGAAGAACACCAGCGGCGAAAGCGUCUUACUGGGCCAUUACUGACACUGAGGGACGAAAGCUAGGGGAGCGAAAGGGAUUAGAUACCCCUGUAGUCCUAGCCGUAAACGAUGAGAACUAGGUGUUGCGCGUAUCGACCCGCGCGGUGCCGUAGCCAACGCGUUAAGUUCUCCGCCUGGGGAGUACGCACGCAAGUGUGAAACUCAAAGGAAUUGACGGGGGCCCGCACAAGCGGUGGAGUAUGUGGUUUAAUUCGAUGCAACGCGAAGAACCUUACCAAGGCUUGACAUCCCUGGAAUCUUUUGGAAACAGAAGAGUGCCUUCGGGAACCAGGAGACAGGUGGUGCAUGGCUGUCGUCAGCUCGUGUCGUGAGAUGUUGGGUUAAGUCCCGCAACGAGCGCAACCCACGUUUUUAGUUGCCAUCAUUAAGUUGGGCACUCUAGAGAGACUGCCGGUGACAAACCGGAGGAAGGUGUGGAUGACGUCAAGUCAGCAUGCCCCUUACGUCUUGGGCUACACACGUACUACAAUGCUACGGACAAAGGGCAGCCAAUCAGCAAUGACGCGCAAAUCCCAUAAACCGUAGCUCAGUUCAGAUCGUAGGCUGCAACUCGCCUACGUGAAGGCGGAAUCGCUAGUAAUCGCAGGUCAGCAUACUGCGGUGAAUACGUUCCCGGGCCUUGUACACACCGCCCGUC